AGACCCGAAACCCGGUGAUCUAGCCAUGGGCAGGUUGAAGGUUGGGUAACACUAACUGGAGGACCGAACCGACUAAUGUUGAAAAAUUAGCGGAUGACCUGUGGCUGGGGGUGAAAGGCCAAUCAAACCGGGAGAUAGCUGGUUCUCCCCGAAAGCUAUUUAGGUAGCGCCUCGUGAAUUCAUCUCCGGGGGUAGAGCACUGUUUCGGCUAGGGGGCCAUCCCGGCUUACCAACCCGAUGCAAACUGCGAAUACCGGAGAAUGUUAUCACGGGAGACACACGGCGGGUGCUAACGUCCGUCGUGAAGAGGGAAACAACCCAGACCGCCAGCUAAGGUCCCAAAGUCAUGGUUAAGUGGGAAACGAUGUGGGAAGGCCCAGACAGCCAGGAUGUUGGCUUAGAAGCAGCCAUCAUUUAAAGAAAGCGUAAUAGCUCACUGGUCGAGUCGGCCUGCGCGGAAGAUGUAACGGGGCUAAACCAUGCACCGAAGCUGCGGCAGCGACGCUUAUGCGUUGUUGGGUAGGGGAGCGUUCUGUAAGCCUGUGAAGGUGUGUCGUGAGGCAUGCUGGAGGUAUCAGAAGUGCGAAUGCUGACAUAAGUAACGAUAAAGCGGGUGAAAAGCCCGCUCGCCGGAAGACCAAGGGUUCCUGUCCAACGUUAAUCGGGGCAGGGUGAGUCGACCCCUAAGGCGAGGCCGAAAGGCGUAGUCGAUGGGAAACGGGUUAAUAUUCCCGUACUUGGUGUUACUGCGAAGGGGGGACGGAGAAGGCUAUGUUGGCCGGGCGACGGUUGUCCCGGUUUAAGCGUGUAGGUGUGUGUUCCAGGUAAAUCCGGUUCACUUUAACACUGAGGCGUGAUGACGAGGCACUACGGUGCUGAAGUAACAAAUGCCCUGCUUCCAGGAAAAGCCUCUAAGCAUCAGGUAACAUCAAAUCGUACCCCAAACCGACACAGGUGGUCAGGUAGAGAAUACCAAGGCGCUUGAGAGAACUCGGGUGAAGGAACUAGGCAAAAUGGUGCCGUAACUUCGGGAGAAGGCACGCUGACACGUAGGUGAAGUGAUUUACUCACGGAGCUGAAGUCAGUCGAAGAUACCAGCUGGCUGCAACUGUUUAUUAAAAACACAGCACUGUGCAAACACGAAAGUGGACGUAUACGGUGUGACGCCUGCCCGGUGCCGGAAGGUUAAUUGAUGGGGU
rnacentral:rRNA from 1 species